CGGGGAAAAAAGCAGGCAGGUAUUCACUGGUCUCAGUUUUCUUCCUCUUCCCUCCUUUUGUUACAGGUUCCCUCACUGAAAGAGGAACUUCUGAUUUUCAAACAUUUCAGAGGCACUGUCUCAAACCUGAACAGGUCUGCCUGACCCGGUCCAUGCUUUAGGACACCAGGCUGCUGACGGUGUGGUUCCUCCGUACAUUAAUCACUUCCUCUCUUGAACAACAAUUUCCUUCAAGUUUUCCACAAUGUCCACUGCCUUCCCUCUUCCCAAACCAAGAGGCAUCGACUUGAACCUACCCACCUGUGGCGAGACCCUGUGUCACGGCCGAGGAACCUGCAAGAUUCUUCCGGGUGGCAGCGGGGAGUAUGUGUGCGACUGCAACCUGGGCUACCAGGGUCAGUUCUGCGAGGGGACAGUCAACGGGGAGCUGAGUUUACCUCUGACCCUGAGUGUGCUGACAGUCAUCGUUGGUCUGCUGAUCCUAGCCAUCAUCCUCGCCAAGGUUCGGCAGUGGCAAAAGAAAAAUUACAGAAAACAACUAGCAGAAAAACAUGGUUACAUUUCUGUGUAAUGAAGAGUGCAGUGACGCCGAGCCUUCCUCAUUAGCUGCCACCUCUGAGGACAUCCUGUAUCCUGACAGACUCCACCCUCUGAUCUGACGCAGUGAACGUUUAAAUCCUCUCAGUGGAUGAAGCAGUCUGAUUUCAGCAACAGCACAAAGCAACAAAGUCCACAAAUCACUGAGACAACGCAAACUCGUGACGCUUCUUGCCGACUAAAUGUCACAACUUCAUUGCAAAAAUAUUUCAUCAUGAAUCCUGCAAAAACAGAAAAGUCAUGAGUUUGUUGUUAAACUUAUUUUAGAACAUCUGCAGGUCUGUAUUUUUUACAGCCUUAUUACAGCAUUAUUUACAGCCUGAUAAGAAAUGCAGAUUGAGGAAAAAAAAACAAAUACAGCAGUUUUACUUCUUUUAAAAUACAAAGAAAUCAGUGAUGACAUUGAAUAGUGUUUUUACAUUGAACUUAGUGGGUUAAAGCAGGAGGUGAAAACCAGAAGUGCAGAUGUUUCCACGGUGAUCCACUUCACAUGACGUCCAACAGCAAUUUUAACCCGCUUUGGUUUGUAAUAACCUUUUUCAGACAAUUUAGUUGAUUGUGUUUUCAAUGUAUUAGGGAUUUUUAUUAAUACUUUUAGUAGUUGCUGCUUUUGCAUAAUGUCCACCUUUAAUUUCACCUUUGGGAAAACAAUGCUAGAUUAUUAUUAAUGUUACAGGUUGGCCGAAUAAUGCAAUGCUGGGGAGGUAAACUGUAAAUGUGUUCCACAUGCAAUAAUGCCCUUAACUGAUAUUUUCCAAACUUCAGAAGCCAAUUUACUGUUUUGAAUUAGUGGAAACAGAGUGAAAGUAGUCACCGGUCAAUCUGUACCAGAAAUACAAUUUGUGAAAAUGUGGAGAUUUACAGCAGUGUCUGUGAUUUUU